rfam:Clohesyomyces aquaticus strain CBS 115471 BCR34scaffold_119, whole genome shotgun sequence.
GGACGUGUGGCCCAAUGGCAAGGCGCUUGACUACGACUUCAGUGGACUAUCAAGAGAUUCCAGGUUCGACCCCUGGCACGUUCA